AUUUUACUAGUAAAAGAUAAUCGUUUCAAAUCAAAUAUAAAUGUUAGGAAGUUAAUACAAGAUGUCCCAUAAUCAUCCCAGAACCCGGUGUCACAAGCGUAUGAGCAUUUACUAAGGAAUGACAUAAAAAUAUAGUAACUGUCCGGAAUACAAGUGGACAGAAAUGAAAAUACAGUACAAUACUCUGAAGGAGACUCUGCUGGCUGUGGUCGUCUCGAUAAAUGCAACUCACCUAAGUCUCUAUAUCAACCAUGCCACUAUGCCACUAAGCCACUAGCCACACAUAAACCUGUGCAACAAAAAUGCACAGCAAGUGUAGUAUGAGUACGGAAACAACGUAUACUCAGCAAGUAUCCCGUCUAAUCUCGAAGAAGUAGAGACGAGAAGUCGACUUCGACAAUUGAUAGUGGUCCAAUAAUAAUAUAGUAAAAAUGUGAGAAAAUCAUGGAUUUAUAUAGCAAUUAUACCUCAUAAAGCCGGAAAGCAAGUAAAUUCCUCCUCAACUAAUAAAGGAUUUCCAAGAUUUACUUUUCAUUAUCUUUAUCAAUUUAUAUCGGCCAGGAAAGGCAAAUAUCAACAUUUAAAAUUUGCAGACAAGCAAUACAAGCAUGCGCAUAUCAUGCCGAGGUCGUACGGCCCGAUCCAACCGAAAUGUAAAAUGUGCAUUGUCGAGGGUCGAACAGCGCGAACCAUAGAUGCAUCUAUUACCCCGCUCGCGAAUCAUACAUGCGACGCAGUCAAAUUUAAAUAAACAAUCACCCUGCUCGUGAAUCAUACAUGCGAUGCAGGUACAUAUAGACAUACAUGCUCAAACAACCAAUUAAGAAUUUAUCGAGGAACAUUUAUCCAAAUAAAAGCCAAUUCUUUUUUAAUGAUUUAAAAAAAAUGAAGUUUAAUCCUUUUAGAAAUUCAUUUACUAAUUCGAUGUGAUUUAAGCAAAUCAAACUGUCAAUAAGAUUAUAAAUAUUCCAAGUAUAGCAUGAUUUUGGGUCCUAGACUACCCAGACUUAAACAUAAUAGUAGCUACGCACGGACUCUCAUCACCUCGUGCAUACGUAGCCCCCACAAAUAGGAGCACAUAACCAAUUAACUCACCUAUGGGGACAAUUCCCUCUUACAAGGUUAGAAAGGAGACUCACCUCGCUCUGAAGAUCCACAACCGGCAUUCCACGCUGUUCUGAAGACUUGGAUCGAUGCAUAAUGCUCCAGAACUAGCCAAUAAUUAUGCAAAUCCAUAAAUACAUGUUCAAUUACUCACUACAAUCCAAUUUAUAACAAUCCCUAACCCCGAUCGAAAAGUUGACAAAAUUGCCCUCGGGCCCACAUGCUGGAAUUCCUAAAUUUUUCGAAGAUAAACUUUACCCAUAACCUCACGAACUCAAAUACAUAAUUUCUUCUCAAUUUCAUACCCAAAAUCGUGGUCAAAUUUCAAGAAUAUCAAUUUUCUAGGUUUUCCCUCAAACCCCAAGUUUCUACCCAUUUACAUGCUAAAACCCAUACAUAAUCGAUAUAUUUAAUUCAAGAUAGGUGGAGUUAGCUUACCUUGUUGAUGAUGACGAAAACCCCCACUUGAAGCUCUCCAAAAUCAUCCAUACCAAAUGAAAAAUUGGGGAAAAAUGACCAUCUCCCAAGUUUAAAAGAAUACACUGCCUCCAGCAUUUCUACACCUGCGGUCACUUGACCGCUUCUGCAGUUCCGCAGGUGCACCUACCCACUUCUGCGGUUUCUCACCAGGCUGCCCUUUUUCGCUUUUGCGUCCUCUCCACCACAUAUGUGGUCCCGCUUUUGCGGUGACCUGACCGCAUCUACGGUCCCAGCUUAGCCGUCCAUUUCCGUUUCUGUGGCACGAAGGCCGCUUCUGCGGCUUCGCACCUGCGGCCCUUGCCUCGCUGGUGCGGUUAUACCAGCAACCAGCAACUUCAGCCCUUUCCAAAAUUCUAUUUUCGAUCUGUUAACCACCCGAAAUCCACCUGAGGCCUCCGGGACCCCAACCAAUCAUACCUACCAGUCCCAAAACACAUUACGGACAUGCUCAAGGCCUCAAAUUAUAUCAAACAACGCUAAAACCACGAAUCGACCUCCAAUCCAAGCUUUAUGAACUUUAGAAUUUCAAACUUCUAUAUUCGAUGCCGAAACCUAUCAAAUCAUAU
rnacentral:lncRNA from 1 species